AGCAAAACGCUUAAAACUCUAAGGACUUGGCGGUACCUUAAACCCCCCUAGAGGAGCCUGUUCUAUAAUCGAUAAUCCACGAUCUACCUCACCAUCUCUUGCCUACCGCCUAUAUACCGCCGUCACCAGCCUACCCUAUGAAGGAAAAAGUAAGCAAAAUAGCCAACAGCUAACAAGUCAGGUCAAGGUGUAGCUUACUGAGAUAARAAAUGGGC
rnacentral:rRNA from 1 species